rnacentral:rRNA from 1 species
UACGUAGGGUGCAAGCGUUGAUCGGAAUUACUGGGCGUAAAGCGUGCGCAGGCGGUUAUGUAAGACAGAUGUGAAAUGCCCGGGCUUAACCUGGGAACUGCAUUUGUGACUGCAUGGCUAGAGUUUGGCAGAGGGGGGUAGAAUUCCACGUGUAGCAGUGAAAUGCGUAGAUAUGUGGAGGAACACCGAUGGCGAAGGCAGCCCCCUGGGUCAAGAUUGACGCUCAUGCACGAAAGCGUGGGGAGCAAACAGG